rnacentral:rRNA from 1 species
AUUGAACGCUGGCGGCAGGCCUAACACAUGCAAGUCGAACGGUAACACGAUGCUUCUUUCUGCUUUUCUGAUGAGUGGCGGGCGGGUGAGUAAUGUCUGUGAUACUCCCUGAUUUGGGGUGAUAUCUACUGGAUACGGUAGCUACUACCUCAUAACUUCUCCAGCCCAGAGAGGGGGGGCUUGUGUCGUCUUGCGAUCUUGUAUGCGCGGGUGGUAUUAUCUAGUAGGUGGGGUAACGUUUCACCUAGGCGACGAUCCCUAGCGGGUCGGAGAGGAUGAUCAGCACCACUGGAACUGAGACACGGUCCAGAGUCCUACGGGAGGCAGCAGUGGGGAAUAUUGGACAAUGGGCGCAAGCAUGAUGCAGCCAUGCCGCGUGUGUGAAGAAGGCCUUCGGGUUGUAAAGUACUUUCAGCGGGGAGGAAGGGAGUAAGGUUAAUACCUUGGCUGAUUGACGGUACCCGCAGAAGAAGCACCGGCUAACUACGUG